UGGGGAAUAUUGGACAAUGGGCGCAAGCCUGAUCCAGCCAUGCCGCGUGAGUGAUGAAGGCCCUAGGGUUGUAAAGCUCUUUUAACGGGGAAGAUAAUGACGGUACCCGUAGAAUAAGCCCCGGCUAACUUCGUGCCAGCAGCCGCGGUAAUACGAAGGGGGCUAGCGUUGCUCGGAAUCACUGGGCGUAAAGGGUGCGUAGGUGGAUUUUUAAGUCAGGGGUGAAAUCCUGGAGCUCAACUCCAGAACUGCCUUUGAUACUGGGAAUCUUGAGUUCGGGAGAGGUGAGUGGAACUGCGAGUGUAGAGGUGAAAUUCGUAGAUAUUCGCAAGAACACCAGUGGCGAAGGCGGCUCACUGGCCCGAUACUGACACUGAGGCACGAAAGCGUGGGGAGCAAACA
rnacentral:rRNA from 1 species